rnacentral:misc_RNA from 1 species
GAAAUGCGAUAAGUAAUGUGAAUUGCAGAAUUCAGUGAAUCAUCGAAUCUUUGAACGCACAUUGCGCCCGCCAGUAUUCUGGCGGGCAUGCCUGUUCGAGCGUCAUUACAACCCUCAGGCCCCCGGGCCUGGCGUUGGGGAUCGGCGGAAGCCCCCUGCGGGCACAACGCCGUCCCCCAAAUACAGUGGCGGUCCCGCCGCAGCUUCCAUUGCGUAGUAGCUAACACCUCGCAACUGGAGAGCGGCGCGGCCACGCCGUAAAACACCCAACUUCUGAAUGUUGACCUCGAAUCAGAUAGGAAUACCCGCUGAACUUAGGC